rnacentral:piRNA from 1 species
CGCAGUGGUAGCUGCAAGGGCAGGGAUGU